rnacentral:rRNA from 1 species
GACGAACCGUGCGAACGUUAUUCGGAAUCACUGGGCUUAAAGGGUGCGUAGGCGGCUUAUCAAGUAGGGUGUGAAAGCCCCCGGCUUAACCGGGGAAUUGCGCCCUAAACUGACGAGCUGGAGUGGGACAGGGGUGUGUGGAACUUCCGGUGGAGCGGUGAAAUGUGUUGAUAUCGGAAGGAACGCCGGUGGCGAAAGCGACACACUGGGUCUCAACUGACGCUGAGGCACGAAAGCCAGGGGAGCGAACGGG